UACGUAGGGGGCAAGCGUUGUCCGGAUUUAUUGGGCGUAAAGAGCGUGUAGGCGGCUUGGUAGGUCUGCUGUGAAAACUCGGGGCUCAACCCCGAGACGUCGGUGGAAACCACCUGGCUAGAGUCCGGAAGAGGAGAGUGGAAUUCCUGGUGUAGCGGUGAAAUGCGCAGAUAUCAGGAAGAAUAUCCGUGGCGAAGGCGGCUCACUGGCCCGGUACUGACGCUGAGGUGCGAAAGCGUGGGGAGCAAACAGG
rnacentral:rRNA from 1 species